rnacentral:lncRNA from 1 species
GGUGACCUUUGUCCCUUCUUGGAAACUGCCUUUGUGAUGUACCUGCCCUUGUCAUGUCCCUUGAUUCUGACCUCUACUACCACCACCAACACCACCAUCCAUCAGAACUAUCCCUUAAUGUACCUGAAAUAACUCAAUAAGUAACACCAACCUUCCUCGAGUUUUAUGACCACUUGUCACUAAACUUUUGUGUGACCACCUGUUUUAAAGUACAUCUGCAUCAUUGAUCAGCAGUUGCAGAGACUGGGUGGUGAUGAGGGCAAGUGUGAAUGCAGAAGAUGGGUCUGGAGGCCACUGCAAAAAUCAAGACUAGAGAUCAUGGUGACUGGGACUAGGUAGGUGUUGAUGCAAAAAUGACAGGGGGAAGAUUGUAAGAGGAGAUGGCUUUUUGCAGAGGGGGUUCUUCCCUGUCACAUCUCUUCAGUUUACCAAAGAGAAAAAGAAAAAUCCCUAACCACGUGCUACCUUGAUUGGAUGUCGUGUCGUUUAUGUAAGGCAGGUUACCAGUUUGGCAAGGACAUUUAAAUUUAUCGUCUGACUUCUGCAGUACUGUGCCACGCAUUCCUAAGGCUUGUAUGAUAACUGGUACUUCAACAAAGAGAAACUUUAUAUGCUGUGACUAUCAUUUGUAUGAAAGUCAGAAAUGAUCAGAAUGAGAAUGAUUUAGGAAGAUGCAGUUCUGAAAAUUCCAAAAAGAGUAUCUUCUUCAAAUGUUACAGAAGAGGAGUUUUUAAACUUCAGGAUUUGUUUGUAUGCAGAGGUUAGUAUUUCAAGUGCCAGCCAUGGAUGUAAACCAGCUUAAAUCAGAGAAGCCCACCAGGUAAAAGCUCCUAGAGUGGUUUGGAAGCAACAAAUUAGGAAGCGAAUGGUUGAGUCAUGGCUAGAGGCAUCUGGAAGCAGCAGGAAGUAGCAGAGGAACCUCCGUCACAGGUUGGAGGCAAUUCCUCAUCAGGACCCAAGACUCUACAUAGAUGUUUAAGAGGAAUAAUUCCUUAUACAGUUUUCACCCCUACGCUUAAUGGCCUGUGAUCACUUUACCAUGCUGAUGUGUCCUAUGAGGCAAUAAACUAAUUGAACUCCCUUCUAACUCAUUUAACUCUUCGUUAGCCUGGAUCUGAUGCUAAACUAAGAAGCUGAACAGUUUGGUGUUUGUUCAUUUGGAGAGGAAAAGUGAAGUCCAGAAAACAUUUCCUGUUUCAGGGAUAUCUAAGUGGGGUGGCAAGUAUAUAAAUAGUUAAAAUCAGGUGGGCUGAGUGUCAGUUUCCAAGUAUUCAUGAGCAGGUGUGGACCAGAGAGGAGGGGUCUUUGUGCACGGUGGAGAGUGAGGAGCAUCUUAUUAGAGGUGGCUUGAGCUGAGUCUCAAAGGAGCAGUGGGAUUAUCCAGGCAGAGGAGGUAGAGAACCAUGCUCCAGGCAGAACGGCUAGCAUGAGCAGUCACUGAGACGACUGAAGGAUCAGGACUUAUUUGAGAACCUCAAGUAGUUAAGGAGCUUGUGGAGGAGUGGGGCAGAGCAAGGGUCAGCAAACUUGUUUUAUGAAGAGUAAGUAUUUUAUUUAGGCUGUGUGAACCAUAUGGCUCAUCACAAAGACUCUUGCUCUGCUGAGUAGGUAGUGCAAAAGCAGCUGGAGGGGGAUAUGCAAAUGAGAGGGCGUGGUGUUCCAUGU